GCCAGGAACAGGAGUACAGUGCUUGGUGCACCGGCAGCAAGCCUCAACUGUUCAAAAGUGCUCCUGGCCACUGCUGAAACCUACGCAUCUGGGUUCAGGGCUGAAUCCAAGAGGUACCCUCAAGUUGCAAAUCCGAGUCCUCAAAUGGAGUGACUCCCUCUGAAACAGGUUGAACCCCUAUUUCCCAAUCUGAUGUUAUUUGUAACCACAAGUCUUUUGGUUUUACUCCUGACUUUUUUGCUUGCUCCAACAUUACUGUUUGGUUUAUAUCAACUAUUUCUAUAUUUAUUGCAUGCUGCACACAAAAGUCUUCAAGUGACUCACACUUUAUCUACAGCACAGAUAAAAAUAAUACAUUACAAUAAAAACAUAAAACGGUUCCUUUAAAAAAAAAGCAGAAAAAGCUUGAGUAUGGGUAGUUUUUUUCUGCUUUGAUUCCCCCACCCCAUUUUGGCUUGAAUGUAUUUUUAAUUUUUGCUUGUUUAUUUGUUUGUUAUGGUUCACUUAGGAGCUGCCUAGAGUGCCUCUUAUUGAGGCAGAAAGGCAAGAUAGAUUUUUAAAAACAAAAAUAAAAAACAAAUAAGCACUGUGGAAGGUGAAGGCAUGAGGACAGCCUGGGAAAAUUCCUAUGGAAAAGGCCAGCCCUGCUGCACAUUCAAGACUUCUCUUCCCCUCCCAUCACAUUUCCCCCAUAUUGAUUUUUGAACUUUGAGUUUUAUUGUUAUUCAUGCUUUUAUACUGUAUGUUAUGCUGCUUCUAUAUCGUAUUACAAUUAAGUGUUUUAAAUUUGUUGUUUUUCAUCCUGAGCCCGGUUUUCUGAACCAGGAAGGGUGGGUAUAAAUAAAAAUUUAUUAUGAUGAUGAUUAUUAUUAUUAACACAUGUACAAAAAAGUCGUGCAGGGGGUGGCCUUGAGUGGGCAUUUCCCAUCAAACUUCUGUAUUUUCAAGUAUUGUUCCUGGCUGAAGGGCUCCCCAAGCAACUUGCCUUUGAUCCCUUCCCUGUCAUGAUUUCUAGGAAAGAUACCUUUCUUCAGGCUUGGCGGGGAUCAAGAGAGAAGAAUUCCAAUUGUAAAUGAAAUCAUUAUUUUAGCCACCAGCAAUGAUCAAGAAAUGUCACUUCAAAAGUGUCUCUGAGAUACAAGGAUGUCAGCACACCGCCUCCAAGAUAAAUAAAAUCUGCCUGCGUGACAUUUUAUUUUUCACAGCCUUCCCAGC